CAUUAUCAAAACAGCGGACUUCGGUCCUUGCUGCACCCUUGUCUUUUGCGUACCGUAUGUUUCCUCGGCGGGCUUGCCUGCCGGUUGGACAUUAUCAAACCUUUUUGUAGUUGCAAUCAGCGUCAGAAAACAAACAAUAAUUACAACUUUCAACAACGGAUCUCUUGGUUCUGGCAUCGAUGAAGAACGCAGCGAAAUGCGAAAAGUAGUGUGAAUUGCAGAAUUCAGUGAAUCAUCGAAUCUUUGAACGCACAUUGCGCCCCUUGGUAUUCCAUGGGGCAUGCCUGUUCGAGCGUCAUUUUGUACCCUCAAGCACUGCUUGGUGUUGGGCGUUUGUCCUGCAAAGGACUCGCCUGAAAGCGAUUGGCGGCCAACGUACUGGUGGUAGAGCGCAGCACAAUUUGCGUCUCUCCCUUCUACGUCGGCGUCCAUGAAGCCUUUUUUCAACGUUUGACCUC
rnacentral:rRNA from 1 species